UUCUCCUCCAUCUCUCCCUCUUCUCCGUCGACGGCAGCGGAAGCCACCACCGGCGCCGCAUCGACCGCAGCACAGCAGUCGCCGCCGCCUCCCUUCACCCGUCUCCGUCUUGACCGGCAGCAGCAGCUGCCUCCGCCGUCCCUGCACGGAGCAGCGCCGCUGCCUCUCCUUUCCUCCAGAUCUGGCGCCGCCGGCGCCCUCGCUCCGUCCGACAACAGCACAACAGCAGCAGCAGCAGCGCCGGCGCCGCCUCCUCCUGCUACGCCGAGCAGCCGAUGCUGCUCUGCUUCUCCGGCUAAAACCGCCGGCCAACACCCCUCCCCAAAAUCACCUCAAAACCCCUAUCUCAUUCUAACCUUCUAAUUUCUUGAAAAGGUGAAGGAAAAAUUGUAAAAUUUUCUUAUGCAAAAUUCAGUCUUUUUCUUAUGCAAAAAUUCAAUCUUUUCUUAUGAAAUGGGCAAAACACUUGAGAAAUAUAUAUACUUACAGACUGUGUUCUUUGUCUUUGUGAUGUAUGGAGUAUCAGAUUUUUGAUUUCUGGAACAGAACUUUCUUGAAGGGAUACUUGUGAUUUGAAUGGAUUUUUGGAGAGGGAAGAGAAGCUGAUGAUAAUAGUAUUUGCUGUGAAUGAUCUGAUCUUGAGUUUUGGCAGAUUUAUUCCAUGAGAGAAAAAUGCAUGUAAGAUGAUUGGUUCAAAAUGUGGUGGAUUGCAGAUGCAUGUAAAGUGAUUGGUUCACAAUGUGGUGAAUUGCAGAGUGAAACAUGGCUGAGCAGAUUUGGUGAUUUAAUGCGAAUACAAUACGUUAAUCACUCACCAAAAACAAAUUAAAUAAAUAAAAUCAAUUUACACUAAUAUGUGGGCUGGUAUACACAUAUAAAAAUGGGCCUGAAAAGUAUAUAGACAAUCUUAAAAAAAAUAUGCCCAAUCUAGUUAGUAUAAUAGUUCUAUUUAGGCCCAACUCAAAUUAAAAGUAAAUGAAAAAUAAAAUGUAAGACCAUUUCCUUUGAGCUCGUCUGGUGUUGAUAUGAAAUAAAUUCACAUAGUCACGUAUUUGCAUUUAAUCUCUUUUGGUAAAAUUUAAUAAAAUCUUUCAUUAAAAGAAAUACCCUUUUUUUUAUCAAUAAAAAUUUUAUCCGGGCGAGAAUUCACCUAAAUAAUAUUCUAAGUUCAAGUAUUCUCGAGAAAUCCUAUUAGGAAAAAUCGGGGUGUUACAUCCUUCCCCUCUAAAAAUAAUUUCGUCCUCGAAAUUUGGUAUAUCCUGGCUAGUAACCUCGACUUCUAGUCUACACAUACUUUCUCGUUCGUAGUGAUUCUAUAAAGGCAGAAUAAUUCCGCUUGCCCCAUAAAGUUUUGAUCUUUCGAUCGAAUAUGUCCAUCAUUCUCUUCUUAUUUUCUGAAUCCCAAUAUGACUAACGUGUCAUGCUUCCUUAUCAUUCUCUAUAUAUCAUCUCGAAAGCUUCCACCACCAUAGGCUUUAAACUUAACAUUUAACAUGCAUGUAGAGAUAAAAGUAUGAAGCUCUUGAUGUUAGAGCAUAUACGUCAAUUUAUGACGAUUGUACCUUCUAAAUCUUCAGGUGCUUGAGCUGCUUGUUGUUGGUUAAGAGCACAAGCCCUAGCACGUGCAGGUUGUCUCUGAUUUGGUCGUUCAUUGCCAAUUGGUACCUGAUUUGGUCUUUGAGGGGCAAAGUUAUGAGGUUGUGGAAUUCUCAUGUUCUCAUUAUUGUUUGGACAGUCUCUAGCGAAAUGCCCUGGUUGUUUGCACCUAAAGCAGUCGUUGGAACCUCUCUUACAUUCACCAUAGUGAUUUUUCUGACAUGUUGGACAUAACGGCUUUCCUUCCGCAUGUCCUUGCUGUUGUUGCCGAUUUCCUCUCCAUGGUUGCUUUCUUUUUCCUGGGUUUCCUUCAUUUUCGUCUUCCCAUUUACGUUUCAUUUUUCCAUAGUCUUGGGUCGGUGCUUGUGCUAACACAUUCUCUUUUUCUUUUGGUAGUAUUGCUUCGAUGUUUAGGGCCCUGCUCAAAGAUUGAGCAUAUGUUAACGCUCCCUGACUUGCUAGUGGAACGGCUAUCUCAAGCCGCAGACCUUGUCGAAACUUUUCUGCACAUUUCUCAUCUGUGUCAACUAGAUGUGGAGCAUAUCGUGAAAGCUGGUUAAACAUUCGGUCGUACUCAGUGACCGUCAUACUUCCUUGUCGUAAAUUCCAAAACUCAUCCUGUUUCUUCUUCCUAUAGCAUCCAGGGAUAUACUUUUCAUACAAUCUUUCUUUAAAAUCAUUCCACGUGUACACCUCCCAUUGCUCAGGGGUCAAGGUUCGUCGCACCGAUUCCCACCAGAAUUCAGCCUCAUCAACGAGUUGAAAAAUUGCGCAUGUGAGUUUCUCCCUAUCCCCACAGCCAACGUGGUUGAGUAUCCUUUCAGUAGCUCUUACCCAUCUCUCGGCAUCCAGAGGAUCACCGAGGCCAUCAAAAGUUGGUGGAUUAUGCUUGCGAAACCUUUCUUCCACACUACGCUCUGGUAUAAUUCGUGGCGCAUGUCCUUCAGGGUUAGGUCCUCUUCCUCUUCUCCAGCCAUUCUGCAUUCAAUUAAUAAUGUUGACUCCUUCUUCAUUCUUUCUAAUAAAAUUUAUACUGUGACAUAAGGAUCUUUAUUGUCUGAACGAUCGUUGGUUGUCUACAAGUCAUCCUUUCAUGUAUCGUGCUUUGAUAUUCUAACUUUCGUAUUCUGACUUUCUAUGGUUUACCCUUCCUUGAUCAUCUUCCUAUGUUAGGUCAUUCUAUGCUUUCUAUGAUCUCUGUCUAUGUUCAGUGCUUUCAAUGUAUAGUCCUUUCUAUUUCUAGUCUAUUCAUGUCCUCUAAAAUCCUCUGAUCAUAAAAGUCUAAAGACAUCCUUCAUCAGUUCACCAAGCGACUAUAGUCUGUCAUCAUAUUCUUUCUAGGUUCACAACCUAACUAAAACUUGUAAUAACACAUAGUGGUUGAAUCAUCUCAUGGUAAUAAAUUGUAUAUCAUGCAUUAUGCAACAUUUCCUCAUUCAAAUCCAGUUAGCACAUACUCUUGCAUGAUAAAAAUGUUUUCAAUCUCAAAUUCAUAUUUGGUCUCAAUAUAGGUUAAGGUUCCAUACAUGUUGCGUUUCAGUGUAUGGACGUCUCCAUACAUGAUCCGCUUCAGUGUAUGUCAUCACAAUUCAUAUCAAUGCAUUCAAUCUUAAAACACAUUCAUUAAUUCUUAUUGCAUGUUCAGUCUCAACACGUAUAUCAGUCUCAAUGCAUGUUCAGCUCAAUGCGGUUAUAGCUUCAAUACAUUCUCUGUUUCAAUGCACGCUCAGUCUCAAUGCAUGUUCAGUCUCAAUACAUGUUCUAUCUCAAUAUAUAUUUUGUCUCAGUGCAUAUUCGUCUCAGCUGUCGUCUCAUCAUGUUCAGUCUCAUCAUGUUCAAUCAAUGCAUGUUCCAUCUUAGUGCAUAUUCAAUCUUAACAUGUUCUAUAACAUAUUCAUGUGGUGCAUGCAUUUCAGUAAACAUUUUUGAAAAUAAGUUUACAUACCUUGGUUGAGGGCAGUGUGACGACGAGCUGAGGGUUGCUGUAUAAACUUUAGAAGCCUAGAGAUGAUAUCCUAGACUCAACAUCAAUGAACUUGUGGUCUCAGAGCCAAGAACUUUUGCUCUGAUACCAUCUGUAACACCCGACUCCCGGGAGAAUAGAAACGCUACUUACUGGGAUUUGCUAGACUUUGUUAGAAUAAAAUGGGUGAUAUGUUCUUAGAUUCGGUAAUACAUUGUAAUAAAGGAGUGCCCAAUUGAAGGAUAAUAAAUACAACAAUUAGGAUAGAAAUUUUCCCAACCAGGAUCAAAAGUUCGGAGGUCUGAGACAACAAGAUAACACUUCAUAUUAGACAUACAUAUAUGCGAGGUUCAGUUGCUAGAAAAAUGCGAUUGCCAAAAGAGUUCAUAAUAAUUAGGCUAAGAAUAUUUAAAGCGUCAUUCUCAAAAGAUAUCCACCUAAGUAAAUAUUAUGGCAGCGGAAAUUAUUAUAUGAAACUACAGCAACAUCCUCCCUCAGCCUCGCACGACACCACCUGCCGCUCAACCUGCAAAAGGUUUUGAAAACAAUUGCAGGGCUGAGUACUAAUAUACUCAGUGGGUUUAGCCAUUUGAAAACAUUUGAAAAUCCAUUUAAAAGAAUAAUCCAUGCUAUGAACAGUAUAACAUAGAAAUAUUUGAAAGCAUUCCAUGCAUACUUAAAAUAAAUUUUGUGGAUCCAUUUCCAGUCUUUUCUCUAUUGGUGCUUCACCUAUAAUGUGAACAUGUGGGAGCAGCCCACAGAGGUCCACUACCAUGCAUGUUUCAGAAAUGGGAGCAACCCAAGUCUGACAGUCUGAGGCAAGUGGGAGCAGCCCACAAUACCCCCUUGUGUGUACACAAUCCUAACCAGGGCGAUCCAAUCGCUACGCCGGCUAGGACCCGAUCGUUAGAUAACAUAGGAGCACUUUAAACAAUAGAGAUAUAAGAAACAUUUUAACAUGGACAUUCAUUUGCAUUUGCAUAAUACAAGUAGAGCUCAAUAACUCAAAGCAUACUUUGGAAAAUAAAACCCACCUUGAUAGGACAAGCCUGUAGAUAAAAUUUGCACAAUCUUGUCUCGUAAGUGAAAUGCUAAUUCCUUCUCUCAAGUGAACCUACAAGAUAAUCUAAUCUUAAUAGGUCUCAAAUAUUGGUCGAAGCUAACAUUUCUUAAAAGCUUCUAAAUCCUGACAUCCUGCGCCCGGAUUUUCAAAACUCAAUUAAAAAUCUUAAAAAUCAAAUUAAAAAAAUACUAUAAUUGCAACAUACUAAGCAAAAUCAGAUCAUAUCUCAAAUCACAUAAAUAAUAAUUAAACUUAAUAAAAUAAAUAGUCAUAUUAAUAUAUCAAUUGAUUAAGAUCUUAACUAAAUAAUUUUAAGCAAAGCAUGAUUUAACAAAAAUUAAAUCAGCCCAACAUCUAAAAUAAAAAUGCAGCCCAAUACUCUUAUUAAAUCAAACCCAUCUUGAAUUAAAAUAUAAGCCCAAAAUAUUAAUAGCCCAAUAUUAAAGCCCUAGCCCACAACUCAAUUCCUUUAUUAAAAGAAAAUCACACACACACACACACACACAAACAACACCACAGACGCACACACACACACCACACGCACCCUCUCCCUUUCCCUCUCUCCCUCUUCACGCUACUNCCUCCUCUUCUUUCUUCCUCUCGGCCGGGCGAGCAGCAGCACCCCGAAGGACCGCCGCGCCGUCCUCGCCACCACCACCUCCGAUUCUCCCUCUCAAUCUGCCGCCGCCCCCUCUCCCUUCAAACUCCGGUGAGCCACCAGCUGCGCCGCAUCGAUCGCAGCACAGCAGCCGCUGCCUCUCCUUUCUUCCCGAUCUGGCACCGCCGGCGCCCUCGCUCCGUCCGACAACAGCACAGCAGCAGCAGCAGCGCCGGCGCCGCCUCCUCCUGCCACGCCGAGCAGCCGAUGCUGCUCUGCUUCUCCGGCUAAAACCGCCGGCCAACACCCCUCCCCAAAAUCACCUCAAAACCCCUAUCUCAUUCUAACCUUCUAAUUUCUUGAAAAGGUGAAGGAAAAAUUGUAAUAUUUUCUUAUGCAAAAUUCAGUCUUUUUCUUAUGCAAAAAUUCAAUCUUUUCUUAUGAAAUGGGCAAAACACUUGAGAAAUACAUACUUACAGACUGUGUUCUUCGUUUUUGUGAUGUAUGGUGUAUCAGAUUUUUGAUUUCUGGGACAGAACUUUCUUGAAGGGAUGCUUGUGAUUUGAAUGAAUUUUUGGAGAGGAAAGAAAGCUGAUGAUAAUUUGUUUUUCUGUGAAUGAUCUGAUCUUGAGUUUUGGCAAGUUUAUUGUGGAAAGGAAAAUUUGC
rnacentral:lncRNA from 1 species